UCUUCAGACCAUUCAGGAAGUUGGAAGAAUAACAUACGCCCGAGAUUUUUGGCUAUUAUCAAUGAAGGUA
rnacentral:tRNA from 1 species